AGAGGGUGCGAGCGUUAAUCGGAAUUACUGGGCGUAAAGAGCGCGUAGGUGGUUUCGUGGGUUGUGUGUGAAAAGCCUGGGCUUAACCUGGGUCUGUCAUGCAAAACUGCGAGACUAGAGUACGGUAGAGGAUAGUGGAAUUUCCAGUGUAGCAGUGAAAUGCGUAGAUAUUGGAAGGAACACCAGUGGCGAAGGCGACUAUCUGGACUGAUACUGACACUGAGGUGCGAAAGCGUGGGGGAGCGAACAGGAUUAGAUACCCUGGUAGUCCACGCCGUAAACGAUGACAACUAGCCCGUUGGAACUAUAUAAAGUUUUAGUGGCGCAGCAAACGCGAUAAGUUGUCCGCCUGGGAGUACGGCCGCAAGGUUA
rnacentral:rRNA from 1 species